rnacentral:rRNA from 1 species
UACGGAGGGUGCAAGCGUUAUCCGGAUUCACUGGGUUUAAAGGGUGCGUAGGCGGGUUGGUAAGUCCGUGGUGAAAUCUCCAAGCUUAACUUGGAAACUGCCGUGGAUACUAUCAAUCUUGAAUAUCGUGGAGGUAAGCGGAAUAUGUCAUGUAGCGGUGAAAUGCUUAGAUAUGACAUAGAACACCAAUUGCGUAGGCAGCUUAAUACACGAUCAUUGACGCUGAGGCACGAAAGCGUGGGGAGCAAACAGG